UACGUAGGGUGCGAGCGUUGUCCGGAAUUAUUGGGCGUAAAGAGCUCGUAGGCGGUGUGUCGCGUCGGUCGUGAAAACUUGGGGCUUAACCCUGAGCUUGCGGUCGAUACGGGCAUCACUGGAGUUCGGCAGGGGAGACUGGAAUUCCUGGUGUAGCGGUGAAAUGCGCAGAUAUCAGGAGGAACACCGGUGGCGAAGGCGGGUCUCUGGGCCGAUACUGACGCUGAGGCGCGACAGCGUGGGGAGCAAACAGG
rnacentral:rRNA from 1 species